AUCACCAGCAGUGUACCUGCUCAGCAAGCAGGGCAGCUCCAGAGGAUGUAGAAGUGAAAAAAGAAGCUCUGACAGGCAGCUGGGGCAAAUGAACGAGAAGGGAAAUGGCAAAAGAGCAAACCAGUGGGACACAUCAGCACAGCACACAGAGCACCUCACCACAGAUGGAUUUGCCUGGGAAGACUCAGCUAUGAAAAGUGUUUUAGAGCCCCUGAGUGGACCCAGCCCCACAGCUCUACUCUGAAGAAAGGUGACGGUUGUCCUUCCCUGACUACCCAAACAAACAGGCUCUAUGUGGUAUUGAAUACAUGAUAUUUGGAUUUGAGUAGGUAUGUUUAAAAUGUCCUCUGAAUGAAGCAAAACAAUGCAAGGAGCUGAUCUCCAGACUGAACAGGUGAAGUUACAUCCCUGCAUCGUGAGACUGAAGCAGCACAUACUGCACUGGUGGAUUUACUUCUUGUCCACAUCAAAAUGCAGAGACUGCUCCAUUCAUCAGGUCCAUGGCAUACAAAGGAGAUGUUAUCAACAUGUAUCUUGUGUCCUAGCAAGGAAAACUGAGAAUCAGCAGAAGCAUUCAGGCAAACAGGAACAGAUGCCUGAAAGAUCUCAUAUCAGCAGCAGGUGGAAUGGCUUGUAGGUAAAAUACCUGUAAAUGAAGCCUCUUCCCAACAGUCCCAGGUAUGCACUGCAGAAGCUGCUGCGAAGGACAGAAGCAUCAGCACCAUUCACCUUGUGUUUUCUUGUCCUUGUAUUCAAGAAAAAAUGUGCCUAUAAUUAGAAAGCAGAAUUAGUACUGAAACAAUUUUCACAUCACUGGUCCUUCAGCCUCCUCAGAUAUUAUUUGUGGUAUCUGCUUUCAUGCAAGAGGAUGGGGCCAAAUAAAAGCAAUCACAAGGGUGGAAAUGUUCUCAGCAGGAGGAAAAGGGAUUAUCAAAAAGCAGAGGAAAAAGAUUUCUGAACGUUUUGUAGUCCUGGGCAUCCAUAUGCCAUUUGAGCUAUGUAGAGAGUUAACAGAUAGCUCUAAAAAUAAAGAAUGCAUUAUUUAUUAACUUGUUUUCAAUACAUGCAUUACGUAUUAUUUAUUUACAUAAUUACCCAUUGCCUACUGCUAUAGCUUUUUAUUUGCAACCUCACUUGGAAAACUACACCGUGUGUUGGCCUAAGCACCCAGUCUGAAUGCAGAAGUGGUGUCUGGGUGCCUAGCAAUAACUUCUGGUGCCACUGGUCAAUUUUAAUUGCAUUUGGCAGGCUGAAGUUUGAGUAAGUUCCUUCCAGUUAUUUUGAGCAAACGGUGGGUAGGUACAAAAAACAUCAGUAGAUUUUCCAGGCUGAAAGCUAAACUCAGCCUUAGAGAAAAGAGGGCUUUACCUCUUAGUAUAGGCUUCAUGUUUUUUGCAAUGCAUAGAAUUACUCACUUUUUGUAUGAUUUGCUUUCAUUCAGUUUUCUCCAUAUGUCCAGAGACUGUAGGAUGUGAUGCAAUUGAGAGAACAACCAUUACCCUUGUUUUAAAAAGAAAUCCUUCAAAAAAAUGGGUUUUGUUUCCAACUCCCGGGUUUUAUUUUUCACAUUCAAAGAAAAAACUUAUUUCUUGUUCUACCUAUAACAUUAUAUUCCUUCUCAGUUUUGAAAAGGUCACAUCACCUGAUGUAAUAAUUGCAUGCAGCUGUUAUGUAAUUGUUCCUCAUAUUUCUAUAAAAGGCAGUAAUU
ensembl:lncRNA